GAUGAACGCUGGCGGCGUGCCUAAUACAUGCAAGUCGAGCGAAUGGAUUGAGAGCUUGCUCUUAUGAAGUUAGCGGCGGACGGGUGAGUAACACGUGGGUAACCUGCCCAUAAGACUGGGAUAACUCCGGGAAACCGGGGCUAAUACCGGAUAACAUUUUGAACCGCAUGGUUCGAAAUUGAAAGGCGGCUUCGGCUGUCACUUAUGGAUGGACCCGCGUCGCAUUAGCUAGUUGGUGAGGUAACGGCUCACCAAGGCAACGAUGCGUAGCCGACCUGGGAGGGUGGUCGGCCACACUGGGACUGGGACACGGCCCAGACUCCUACGGGAGGCAGCAGUAGGGAAUCUUCCGCAAUGGACGAAAGUCUGACGGAGCAACGCCGCGUGAGUGAUGAAGGCUUUCGGGUCGUAAAACUCUGUUGUUAGGGAAGAACAAGUGCUAGUUGAAUAAGCUGGCACCUUGACGGUACCUAACCAGAAAGCCACGGCUAACUACGUGCCAGCAGCCGCGGUAA
rnacentral:rRNA from 1 species